UACGUAGGGGGCAAGCGUUGUCCGGAAUCAUUGGGCGUAAGGAGCGUGUAGGCGGCUUGGCAAGUCUGGUGUGAAAUCUUGCGGCUCAACCGCAAGCGGUCACUGGAAACUGCCUCGCUAGAGUCCGGAAGAGGAGAGCGGAAUUCCUGGUGUAGCGGUGGAAUGCGCAGAUAUCAGGAAGAACACCCGUGGCGAAGGCGGCUCUCUGGGACGGUACUGACGCUGAGACGCGAAAGCGUGGGGAGCGAACAGG
rnacentral:rRNA from 1 species